GUAAAAUAUUGAGCUCUGGAAUCAAGAAUCAUAUGCUUCAAUUUCAACACAAUUUUAGACUACUUUUAGGAAUGAACAUUGAUAAACUAACUGCAUUACCAAUCUAAUAAAAAAUAAACGUCCUUCCUGUCCUCCGGAGCCAGUUCCCCACUUGUGAGUUGCAGCUCUUGAUUUUUCCCAUCAAACACUUUUAUUUCUUUCAAUUGACUAUGCCAAGGACUAAGAUUCUUCAUAUACAUCAAACGACUAACGAAACAUGCUAUCAUUUCAACCGUUGAUGAUAGGUUGAGUCUCCUGGGAUUACAACUCCAUAGCAAAGCAUCCACAAACGUUGAACACUCCCCAUAUGACCUCAUAAUGUUGACAUUUAAAACGUCCACUCGGGGGCUAGCAACUCCAUGAUGCUGCUGCAAAUCUCUCAUCUCAAUCUCAUUGUAUUCGGGAAAACAGAGGAGAACUUGGGACCAAGAGAUCGGAUUUGAUAGAAGCUUUCUCAACAUACUAAACCAUGCCGCAUCUAAAUUGUUGUUGCCAUGAAGAACUAUUUUUGAGUGCUUCAAUCGACUUGACUCUUUCGCAAUUUUAAGUUCAGGAAUUU
rnacentral:misc_RNA from 1 species